rnacentral:rRNA from 1 species
UGGUGGAGUGAUUUGUCUGGUUAAUUCCGUUAACGAACGAGACCUCGACCUGCUAAAUAGUUCUCGCCAGUUCAACUGGAGGGAUACUUCUUAGAGGGACUAUCGGUGUGUAGCCGAUGGAAGUUCGAGGCAAUAACA